rnacentral:rRNA from 1 species
GAUGAACGCUGGCGGCGUGCCUAAUACAUGCAAGUCGAGCGAACGGACGAGAAGCUUGCUUCUCUGAUGUUAGCGGCGGACGGGCGAGUAACACGUGGAUAACCUACCUAUAAGACGGGGAUAACUUCGGGAAACCGGAGCUAAUACCAGAUAAUAUUUUGAACCGCAUGGUUCAAAAGUGAUAGACGGUCUUGCUGUCACUUAUAGAUGGAUCCGCGCUGCAUUAGCUAGUUGGUAAGGUAACGGCUUACCAAGGCAACGAUGCAUAGCCGACCUGAGAGGGUGAUCGGCCACACUGGAACUGAGACACGGUCCAGACUCCUACGGGAGGCAGCAGUAGGGAAUCUUCCGCAAUGGGCGAAAGCCUGAUGGAGCAACGCCGCGUGAGUGAUGAAGGUCUUCGGAUCGUAAAACUCUGUUAUUAGGGAAGAACAUAUGUGUAAGUAACUGUGCACAUCUUGACGGUACCUAAUCAGAAAGCCACGGCUAACUACGUG